rnacentral:rRNA from 1 species
GACGAACGCUGGCGGCGUGCUUAACACAUGCAAGUCGAACGGAAAGGCCCUGCUUUUGUGGGGUGCUCGAGUGGCGAACGGGUGAGUAACACGUGAGUAACCUGCCCUUGACUUUGGGAUAACUUCAGGAAACUGGGGCUAAUACCGGAUAGGAGCUCCUGCUGCAUGGUGGGGGUUGGAAAGUUUCGGCGGUUGGGGAUGGACUCGCGGCUUAUCAGCUUGUUGGUGGGGUAGUGGCUUACCAAGGCUUUGACGGGUAGCCGGCCUGAGAGGGUGACCGGCCACAUUGGGACUGAGAUACGGCCCAGACUCCUACGGGAGGCAGCAGUGGGGAAUAUUGCACAAUGGGCGGAAGCCUGAUGCAGCAACGCCGCGGGCGGGAUGACGGCCUUCGGGUUGGAAACCGCUUUCGCCUGUGACGAAGCGUGAGUGACGGUAAGGGGUAAAGAAGCACCGGCUAACUACGUGC